AGUGAACGCUGGCGGUAGGCCUAACACAUGCAAGUCGAACGGCAGCACAGUAAGAGCUUGCUCUUACGGGUGGCGAGUGGCGGACGGGGGAGGAAUACAUCGGAAUCUACUUUGUCGGGGGGGAUAACGUAGGGAAACGUACGCUAAUACCGCAUACGACCUACGGGGGAAAGCAGGGGAUCUUCGGACCUUGCGCGAUGGAAUGAGCCGAUGUCGGAUUAGCUAGUUGGCGGGGUAAAGGCCCACCAAGGCGACUAUCCGUAGCUGGUCUGAGAGGGUGAUCCGCCACCCUGUCUCUGAGACACGGUCCCCACUCCUACGCGAGGCCGCAGUCCGGACUCCUGCGCGAGGGGGCCAUGGCUGAUACUGCCCUACCGGCUGGGUCCAGAAGCACCUCGGGUUCUUGAGCCAUGUUGUUGUUAGAGUUGUACAGCACGUUUACCCCCCGCUGUAAUGACGGUACCGAAAGAAUAAGCUCCGGCUAACUUCGUG
rnacentral:rRNA from 1 species